CCUACGGGAGGCAGCAGUGGGGAAUAUUGGACAAUGGGCGCAAGCCUGAUCCAGCCAUGCCGCGUGUGUGAAGAAGGCCUUAUGGUUGUAAAGCACUUUAAGCGAGGAGGAGGCUACUCUAGUUAAUACCUAGGGAUAGUGGACGUUACUCGCAGAAUAAGCACC
rnacentral:rRNA from 1 species